AGAGUUUGAUCAUGGCUCAGGAUGAACGCUGGCGGCAUGCCUAAUACAUGCAAGUCGAACGGAAUCUUAUAUGUUCCUCGUUUCGGAUUUAGUUCCGAGUUGGGGAACAAUAAGAUUUAGUGGCGGACGGGUGAGUAACACGUUGGUACCUACCCUCUAGUGGGGAAUAACUUCGAGAAAUCGAGGCUAAUACCGCAUAAUAUCUACGGAUUAAAGCAUUUAUGCGCUAGAGGAGGGGCCUGCGUCUGAUUAGCUUGUUGGUGAGGUAAAAAGCUCACCAAGGCGACGAUCAGUAGCUGGAUCGAGAGGUUGACCAGCCACACUGGGACUGAGAUACGGCCCAGACUCCUACGGGAGGCAGCAGUAAGGAAUCUUCCACAAUGGGCGAAAGCCUGAUGGAGCAAUGCCGCGUGCAGGAUGACGGCCUUCGGGUUGUAAACUGCUUUUAUAUGGGAAGAUUAUGACGGUACCAUAUGAAUAAGGACCGGCUAACUACGUG
rnacentral:rRNA from 1 species